rnacentral:rRNA from 1 species
GACGAACGCUGGCGGCGUGCUUAACACAUGCAAGUCGAGCGGUAAGGCCCUUUCGGGGGUACACGAGCGGCGAACGGGUGAGUAACACGUGGGUGACCUGCCCUUAGCUCUGGGAUAAGCCUGGGAAACUGGGUCUAAUACCGGAUAUGACUCCAUGACGCAUGUUGUGGGGUGGAAAGCCUUGUGCGGCUAGGGAUGGGCCCGCGGCCUAUCAGCUUGUUGGUGGGGUGAUGGCCUACCAAGGCGACGACGGGUAGCCGGCCUGAGAGGGCGACCGGCCACACUGGGACUGAGACACGGCCCAGACUCCUACGGGAGGCAGCAGUGGGGAAUCUUGCGCAAUGGGCAAAGCCUGACGCAGCGACGCCGCGUGGGGAUGACGGCCU